rnacentral:rRNA from 1 species
CCUACGGGUGGCUGCAGUGGGGAAUAUUGGGCAAUGGUCGCAAGCCUGACCCAGCAACGUCGCGUGAAGGAAGAAGGCUCUCGGGGUGUUAACUUCUUUUUUGAGGGACGAAGAAUGCGACGGUACCUCAGGAAUAAGCCACCGCUAACUACGUGCCAGCAGCCGUUGUAAUACGGAGGGGGCAAGCGUUCUCCGGAUUUAUUGGGUGUAAAGGGCGUGUAGGCGGGAAAGUAAGUCAGAUGUGAAAACUCGGGGCUCAACCCUGAGCCUGCGUUUGAAACUGUUUUUCUUGAGUGCUGGGGAGGCAAUCGGAAUUCCGGGUGUAGCGGUGAAAUGCGUAGAUAUACGGAAGAACACCAGUGGCGAAGGCAGAUUGCUGGACAGUAACUGACGCUGAGGCGCGAAGGCGUGGGUAGCAAACAGGAUUAGAUACCCCAGUAGUC